AAAUUGAAGAGUUUGAUCAUGGCUCAGAUUGAACGCUGGCGGCAGGCCUAACACAUGCAAGUCGAACGGUAACAGGAAGCAGCUUGCUGCUUCGCUGACGAGUGGCGGAAGGGUGAGUAAUGUCUGGGAAACUGCCUGAUGGAGGGGGAUAACUACUGGAAACGGUGGCUAAUACCGCAUAACGUCGCAAGACCAAAGAGGGGGACCUUCGGGCCUCUUGCCAUCAGAUGUGCCCAGAUGGGAUUAGCU
rnacentral:rRNA from 1 species